UGGGGAAUAUUGCGCAAUGGGCGAAAGCCUGACGCAGCGACGCCGCGUGAGGGAUGAAGGGCUUCGGUUCGUAAACCUCUGUCAGGAGAGAAGAAUUGCCAGGGUGCUAAUCAGCCCUGGUUUGACGGUACCUCCAAAGGAAGCACCGGCUAACUCCGUGCCAGCAGCCGCGGUAAUACGGAGGGUGCAAGCGUUAAUCGGAAUCACUGGGCGUAAAGCGCAUGUAGGCCGCUUUAUAAGUCAGAGGUGAAAUCCCACGGCUUACCCGUGGAAUAGCCUUUGAUACUGUAGAGCUUGAGUCUGUGAGAGGGUAGUGGAAUUCCAGGUGUAGGGGUGAAAUCCGUAGAUAUCUGGAGGAACAUCAGUGGCGAAGGCGACUACCUGGUGCAGUACUGACGCUGAGAUGCGAAAGCGUGGGGAUCAAACA
rnacentral:rRNA from 1 species